rnacentral:rRNA from 1 species
AGCUCGUGUCGUGAGAUGUUGGGUUUAAGUCCCGCAACGAGCGCAACCCCUAUUGUUAGUUGCCAUCAUUCAGUUGGGCACUCUAGCGAGACUGCCGGUAAUAAACCGGAGGAAGUGGGGAUGACGUCAAAUCAUCAUGCCCCUUAUGACCUGGGCUACACACGUGCUACAAUGGUUGGUACAACGAGUUGCGAGUCGGUGACGGCGAGCUAAUCUCUUAAAGCCAAUCUCAGUUCGGAUUGUAGGCUGCAACUCGCCUACAUGAAGUCGGAAUCGCUAGUAAUCGCGGAUCAGCACGCCGCCGGUGAACCUACGUUCUCGGGCCUU